AGUGAACGCUGGCGGUAGGCCUAACACGUGCAAGUCGAACGGCAGCACAGGAGAGCUUGCUCUCUGGGUGGCGAGUGGCGGACGGGUGAGGAAUACAUCGGAAUCUACCUUUUCGUGGGGGAUAACGUAGGGAAACUUACGCUAAUACCGCAUACGACCUACGGGUGAAAGUGGGGGACCGCAAGGCCUCACGCGAUUAGAUGAGCCGAUGUCCGAUUAGCUAGUUGGCGGGGUAAUGGCCCACCAAGGCGACGAUCGGUAGCUGGUCUGAGAGGAUGAUCAGCCACACUGGAACUGAGACACGGUCCAGACUCCUACGGGAGGCAGCAGUGGGGAAUAUUGGACAAUGGGCGCAAGCCUGAUCCAGCCAUACCGCGUGGGUGAAGAAGGCCUUCGGGUUGUAAAGCCCUUUUGUUGGGAAAGAAAUCCUGUCGAUUAAUACUCGGUGGGGAUGACGGUACCCAAAGAAUAAGCACCGGCUAACUUCGUG
rnacentral:rRNA from 1 species